CCCCAAAGCGGAUGAGUUCUGGCAUUCUGAGCAGCACUGAGGAGGGCUUUGUUACUGCAGUGAAUGCGUUCCGUUAAACCUCGAAACUUUAAUGUAUGUUUGGCUCCGAGAGAGUAACCUAGGGCAGGUCUACUAUGAAAUACGAAGACUUAAGAUUGGCUGCCGUUGCUGUUAAUCGUUCACAAAGCCUAGAAACACUCAAACAGUUGAUGACGCCGAAUCUUUUACCAGAGACUGGAAUUUGUUUUGGAAUAGUACCACGUGACAAGCAACAAGCGCAAAAGAGAGAAACGCAUUGAAAGCUUUUCAAACACUUCUAAAUUCUCUGCUUAUUGCACAAGACAGCACUAUGUCAGAGGAGCAAGGAAAAGAGUCUACCUAUGAGAUGAGUCUCUCAGAGAAACAGAGUGUACGAUCAGGCUCACAUGUGUUCAGCUCUGUGUCUAUGAAGAGUGAUCAGUCAAAAGAUCAACCACCGACAUUUAGUG